rnacentral:lncRNA from 1 species
GGAACAUAGCAGCAGCCAUCUGGGAAGAGAAAGGAAUGAAGAUUUAAGAAAACACUCUUCUGACAUGUUCUCAUAGGUGAGGUUAAAGAGUUGGUCCCCUGGGAUGGAGGAUGAGAGCCAUCUCCUGGAGAAGAACUGAACUGCUGAAUACAAAGGUUAGGAAAAUUUUCCUGAUGUCCAAUCUACAUCAUGUUGAAGUGCCAGAUUCCUGAAGCCUGGGCUCAUGGGACUGUUUCUUCAAGGAAAUAGGAGCUCACGUCUCUACAACAUCUUAGAAUUUACGAAGUAGUUU